rnacentral:rRNA from 1 species
GGGUUGUGAGGUUAAGCGACUAAGCGUACACGGUGGAUGCCCUGGCAGUCAGAGGCGAUGAAGGACGUGCUAAUCUGCGAUAAGCGUCGGUAAGGUGAUAUGAACCGUUAUAACCGGCGAUUUCCGAAUGGGGAAACCCAGUGUGUUUCGACACACUAUCAUUAACUGAAUCCAUAGGUUAAUGAGGCGAACCGGGGGAACUGAAACAUCUAAGUACCCCGAGGAAAAGAAAUCAACCGAGAUUCCCCCAGUAGCGGCGAGCGAACGGGGAGGAGCCCAGAGCCUGAAUCAGUGUGUGUGUUAGUGGAAGCGUCUGGAAAGGCGCGCGAUACAGGGUGACAGCCCCGUACACAAAAAUGCACAUAUUGUGAGCUCGAUGAGUAGGGCGGGACACGUGGUAUCCUGUCUGAAUAUGGGGGGACCAUCCUCCAAGGCUAAAUACUCCUGACUGACCGAUAGUGAACCAGUACCGUGAGGGAAAGGCGAAAAGAACCCCGGCGAGGGGAGUGAAAAAGAACCUGAAACCGUGUACGUACAAGCAGUGGGAGCCUCUUUAUGGGGUGACUGCGUACCUUUUGUAUAAUGGGUCAGCGACUUAUAUUCUGUAGCAAGGUUAACCGAAUAGGGGAGCCGAAGGGAAACCGAGUCUUAACUGGGCGUUAAGUUGCAGGGUAUAGACCCGAAACCCGGUGAUCUAGCCAUGGGCAGGUUGAAGGUUGG